UACAGAGGUCUCAAGCGUUGUUCGGAUUCAUUGGGCGUAAAGGGUGCGUAGGUGGCAGGGUAAGUCAGGUGUGAAAUCUCGGGGCUCAACCCCGAAACUGCACUUGAUACUGCCUUGCUCGAGUACUGGAGAGGAGAUUGGAAUUUACGGUGUAGCAGUGAAAUGCGUAGAUAUCGUAAGGAAGGCCAGUGGCGAAGGCGAAUCUCUGGACAGUUACUGACACUGAGGCCCGAAGGCCAGGGGAGCAAACGGG
rnacentral:rRNA from 1 species